GCAUGGUGCUGCUACUAGCUCUGAAUUAGGUGUAUAUGCAUAUGCUGCUGCUCAGGUCAAGAAAGCCAUGGAGGUUACACAUCAUCUUGGGGGAGAGAAUUAUGUCUUUUGGGGUGGUCGAGAAGGUUACCAGAGCCUCCUGAACACAGAUAUGGAAAGAGAACUUAACCAUAUGGCAAGGUUCAUGGAAGCUGCUGUCGCUUACAAAAAGAAGAUUGGCUUCAAUGGAACAUUACUAAUUGAACCAAAGCCUCAGGAGCCAACAAAACACCAGUAUGACUGGGAUGCUGCCACUUCUGCUAAUUUCUUACGCAAAUAUGGGCUUAUAGGAGAGUUCAAAUUGAACAUCGAGUGCAACCAUGCCACGUUGGCUGGUCACAGCUGCCAUCAUGAGCUUGAAACAGCAAGAAUUAAUGGUUUGCUGGGCAACAUUGACGCAAAUUCUGGCGAUCCCCAGAUUGGUUGGGACACAGAUCAAUUUUUGAUGGAUGUCGCUGAGGCAACAUUGGUGAUGCAAACCGUUAUUAAAAAUGGAGGAUUGGCACCAGGA
rnacentral:misc_RNA from 1 species